UCCCACGUGGUCUUCCAGACAGAGAUUCAAAGAGGCUGGAACCUGCCUCUCCUGCUGACUGUGAAUGAAGAUUGCAGUAUACUCAGCUACAAGUCCAUCUGCUCUUUAACUUUUUUCGAAAAAAAACUAUCUAAGAGUAUUUUUCCUUUGAAGCUUCCAGCACCAUUUAUGAGGGCUCAAAGGGGAUAUUAUUCAUGUUUCAGAUGAAGAAAGCUGAAACUGUCAAAGUAACAACUGACUUGAGAAAAGCCAAUAUUCUCCAAGGCAUCAGCAUUUAGAAGGACCUGGGAAAAGAUCCUGUGCUUACCAGGAAAUUUCACUGAUCUCAUCAAAUCCCAAAACUGCACAAAUGAAGAAUUGCCCAGCAGACUAUGCUAUCUUAUUGCAAACCCCAGUAGUAAAAAUGUUUCAUAAAAUGAUAGGUAUCUGUUUCUGUGGGAUGAUUUUUAGCAGUAAAACAGUAGAUGGUAUAAGUGAAGAGAGAUUCCAUAAUUAACUGCGUUUUAGUUACCUGUUUGAUAUCAUCUUAAUUGUUACAACAAACUGCACAAGAUGACUGAAAAUGAACACCUUUCUACUCAGAAGAUAAACUGCUUUUAAAAAAGAAGGAAUGAAACCCAGCUCUAUCAUUUUCAGUAUCCCAGUUAAUUAAAAUGGACAUGACUGGAGAAGCAUAGACACCUGAGCAACUUCCAAGACAUUUCUCUGUCAUGUUCUUACUGACUCUGAGACCUUAUUUCCCACCGCAGUGUCUGCUCAUCCCAGUGCAGCACCCUUCAAACCAACCUUCCCCAAAGGAUCCAGCAGACACGGGCUGAGAAGAGAGCUAAGCACAAGCUGGAACUACAGAGUCUCAGGAGGAAUCCCAGGCAAACAAUGGACAUGGAUGAAGACUUCUUGACUACAGCCUUUUUGGAUGAGUUGAACAACCUAUAAUAUUUUACAAGUCUGAAGAUUAAGAAUUCCAAGGGUCUUUCUGAAAAAAAAAUUAUCAUUUACUAUAAAAGAUCAAUUCCUGUGUUGUUUGCACUACUGCUUUCUGGAUGAGUUUCCAAUCUAUUAGUGAAGCAGUAAAUGCUCCUCCAGUAACCAACCAUUGAUAUCUCGAAAGCAAAUCAAAAGCAGUGUAAGGCUGUUGAAGAAAAGGGCUUGAAAGGAAACGAGUAAAAGAUCAUACCAUUCCUAUGGUAGCUGCAAAAAUUUGUGAAGAUUACAGCUGAGAGAGGGAUGGGCCAGAGACCAGAAAGAGACCAAGGGAUCAAAGACAAGAUAUCUGCCUGCAGAGUGUGGUCCUGACUUUCCUUCUUGCAGGCUUACAGCCUAAACAGCAUGACUACAACUUUGUAGGGUUGAUCUGUUAGGGGCACACAACCAGAGGUGGAACUGUGGGAGACGAUGGAUAAGCCUCAAAUGGAGAAAGCACCUGUUGACCACUGGUUUUACCUUGGACUUUGUUCAGCCCUGACAGGAUUUAUAGAGUCUGGACAUGUAAGAGAAAUACUAUGCAUGCCUGUUAUUUGUAACACAGGGUUUUCACUUCAGCUGAGGGGCCAGAGACCUUGCUGUGGGUGCAUCAUGGAGUUGCACUCCUGAUGCUCCAACUUCUGUCUUUAUUCCAACCAUGAGUUCACUACAAGCCCAAAGGGAAAAAUAUUUGCAUUCCACUGUGCACAUUGGCAGUAAUUUUUGUGGAUGCAGCACAACACUGUGGAAAGAGACAGGUAUAUGGAGCAUUUAGAAGUUUCAGUACUGUGGAAUCAACCUUCACUAUAAGGAGACUGAUGCACUGGGAAAAAUUCAAGCAGCCCUGUGAGUAUAUAGAAAAAAUGAUAGACAAAGUCCUACCAGACUGAAUAUAUUGCUUAUUCUGCUUGUGUCUGGAUAUAGUGGUUGUUUCAAAUGGAGUGCAUAUCUGGAAAUAGUCUAUGAAUGGGAAUCAUACUCUGUUCCCCUCUGUUUUCCCUGCUCUUCAAGUUACAAUCUCUUCUCUGUCUCAUUGCCUGACAGAUCAAGCAGGGUUGAGCCCCAAACCCAAGGGCUUAUUCGGGUAGGUGGGCUUAAGAAGACUGAAACAAUUGCUUUAGAGAGGAAACUUUCCAUGGCCCAGGCUUAUGGCACCUGUAAUAAAAUAUAUUCAGAGAAAUGUUUUAUCUAAAAUGGGCUUUCCUUCUCUAGGAGUUAGUUUAAGAGACUCCAGGAAGUCUCUAGGUAGUUAUGGCUUUGCUUGGAUGUCCUGCCCUUUUUCUUUGAGGUUGAAAUAAGCAUCUGAGGUUCAUAGUCUUUGUGUCCUUAUCAGCUUCUGGGUCAGCUGGCUAGCAGAGUUGUCUAAUCCCAUUUCUGAGAGAUGUUCUUUCA